UUGACGCGCAACAUGGACAGCGCAGUAGCCUCCUAAGUUACAGGUCGAGGGAUCGAAGCCCUCCAA
rnacentral:tRNA from 1 species